rnacentral:rRNA from 1 species
UGAGGAAUAUUGGUCAAUGGGCGAGAGCCUGAACCAGCCAAGUAGCGUGCAGGAUGACGGCCUUAUGGGUUGUAAACUGCUUCUAUAUGGGAAUAAAGUGAGGGACGUGUCCCUUAUUGCAUGUACCAUACGAAUAAGGACCGGCUAAUUCCGUGCCAGCAGCCGCGGUAAUACGGAAGGUCCAGGCGUUAUCCGGAUUUAUUGGGUUUAAAGGGAGCGUAGGCUGUUUGUUAAGCGUGUUGUGAAAUGUAAGAGCUCAACUUUUAGAUUGCAGCGCGAACUGGCAGACUUGAGUGCGCACAACGUAGGCGAAUUUAAUGGUGUAGCGGUGAAUUGCUUAGAUAUCAUGACGAACUCCGAUUGCGAGGGCAUCUUACGGAAGCGCAACUGACGCUAAAGCUCGAAGGUGCGGGUAUCGAACAGG